GCAAGUCGAACGAACCCUUCGGGGUUAGUGGCGCACGGGUGCGUAACGCGUGGGAACCUGCCCUUAGGUUUGGAAUAACAGUGAGAAAUCGCUGCUAAUGCCAGAUAAUGUCUCCGGACCAAAGAUUUAUCGCCAAAGGAUGGGCCCGCGUAAGAUUAGCUAGUUGGUGAGGUAAAGGCUCACCAAGGCGACGAUCCCUAGCUGGUCUGAGAGGAUGAUC
rnacentral:rRNA from 1 species